rnacentral:rRNA from 1 species
GACGUAGGGCGCGAGCGUUGUCCGGAUUUAUUGGGCGUAAAGAGCUCGUAGGCGGCUUGUCGCGUCGACUGUGAAAUCCCGCGGCUCAACUGCGGGUCUGCAGUCGAUACGGGCAGGCUAGAGUCCGGUAGGGGAGACUGGAAUUCCUGGUGUAGCGGUGAAAUGCGCAGAUAUCAGGAGGAACACCGAUGGCGAAGGCAGGUCUCUGGGCCGAUACUGACGCUGAGGAGCGAAAGCGUGGGGAGCGAACAGG